rnacentral:rRNA from 1 species
CACGUAGGCGGAUCGUUAAGUCGACUGUGAAAGUCCCGGGCUCAACCUGGGAAUUGCAGUUGAUACUGGCGGACUAGAGUACUGGAGAGGGAAGUGGAAUUCCCGGUGUAGCGGUGAAAUGCGCAGAUAUCGGGAGGAACACCAGUGGCGAAGGCGGCUUCCUGGCCAGUUACUGACGCUGAGGUGCGAAAGCUGGGGGAGCGAACC